rnacentral:rRNA from 1 species
UACGUAGGUGGCAAGCGUUGUCCGGAAUUAUUGGGCGUAAAGCGCACGUAGGCGGACUCUUAAGUCGGUGGUGAAAUCCUGGAGCUCAACUCCAGAACUGCCUUCGAUACUGAGAGUCUCGAGUCCGAGAGAGGUGAGUGGAACUGCGAGUGUAGAGGUGAAAUUCGUAGAUAUUCGCAAGAACACCAGUGGCGAAGGCGGCUCACUGGCUCGGUACUGACGCUGAGGUGCGAAAGCGUGGGGAGCAAACAGG